GGGUCUAUAGUUUAGUGGUAAAAUUUCGGUCUCCAAAACCGACGUCCGAGGUUCGAGUCCUCGUGGACCCG
rnacentral:tRNA from 1 species